UGCAGCUGUUCAGCAGUUGAUUUAUCAUCUGUUCAGCUUCUCUGACACAGGGAUGGCAUCCUUUGUAAGACUGGGGGAAGAUGGAGUGGGAAGAAGAGCCGGCUCGUGGCUGACAGCUGUUUCAGCCUCUGCAGUUUAAUUCGCUGCUGAAUAUGCCUCAACACCCCAAACUUGGCGGAAGCUCAGCCUUCAUCAGAAAUGGACACUGAGCCAAGGGAAGGAGGACUGAGCAAAGUGGAAGAUUUAAGGAGGAAAAGAUGACACGAUUUUAGCCUGUUCAACAUUCCAGACCUUCUCUAAUGGGAAACAGAAAAGGACAUUUUGAAAAAGAUACAGGUCUGAUCAGAUAUACUGCUGAGCCUGUCCCUGUGUCUUCUCCAUGUAUUCUGUGGACUGCAAAGACUAUGGAAGAGGAGCAGAGCCGGUGAGUGUGAAGGAGGCGAUGCGUCAGAGGCUUGCAGAGACUGCGGAUGGCCAGAAUGAAGGUCAUACGGGACAACAUCCUGGAGUGGUGCUGGAGAGCGUGAACUGCCGGAGAACCUGUCGGUCACCUCUCAACCGCUGCAUUGCCCUGAGAGAAUCACACCUGUGGCAACUGCCAACUUCAGAGAAGGGAAUUAAGGUUGCAUCAUAAGGGUAUGUUGCAUUUUCAUCUCAUCAUUUCCAGGGGUGUAAACUGAGCCAUGUUAAAGGUAUGAGACAUUACCUAUUUAUCUCUGUAUUAAUGAGUUCAGAGUGUUUGUUUAAAAACAGAUUAAUAGCGAGCAUUGGGCAACACUGUCUUGCAUAUUCCAUUUAGGUAGCCAACUCAGCUGCCAUUAUUUACUAAAUCAUAUGAACUAUUCACAGAAUUGGAAUUGUGGUCAUCAGGACAUCAAGGUCAUCAACCACAAGGUUACCAAAGACUCCAGCACUGUCACUGUUGCCAAAUCAAAGAUGUAUUUGGCUGAAGUUGAAACCAAAAUACAAGCUUCAUCCAGAAGGGAGCUGUGUGGUUGUGUUUCCUGUGAAAAACAGCUAGAUUGAAACACUUUAUAACAGAUUAAUUAAAUGGCCUCAGAAGUAGUGAAACCACAGUUUUAGUCAUUAGUUGUAUCACUUUGACUACUGCCUUCAAAUUCUACCUUAAAGAAACAGAAGUCACUGAAAAGAGCAGAUAUGGGAGCAUUGUGGUACUGGCAUGAAGACAGGCAGCGCUGGUGUGAGGCAUUUUAAUAUGACAUUAAUAGUAUGAAUCAAGCAUGUGAGUUUCCCCACAGCAGGCAAGGGAUUCAGCCUCCUCAGAUUAGGAUCAUAAUUUCAUUCUCAUUAUCCAGGUCCUUACAAGUUCACCAGUGGGAAGGAAGAUCUUUCAAAAAAAAAAAAAAAAA